GGUAGCCGUAGAGUUUGAUCCUGGCUCAGUAGGCUGAGUAUGCCUAGAAUCUGCCUGGUAGUGGGGGAUAACGCUGGAAACGGACGCUAUACCGCAACGUCCUACGGGAGAAAGCAGGGGACCUUCGGGCCUUGCGCUAUCAGAUGAGCCUAGGUCGGAUUAGCUAGUUGGUGAGGUAAUGGCUCACCAAGGCGACGAUCCGUAACUGGUCUGAGAGGAUGAUCAGUCACACUGGAACUGAGACACGGUCCAGACUCCUACGGGAGGCAGCAGUGGGGAAUAUUGGACAAUGGGCGAAAGCCUGAUCCAGCCAUGCCGCGUGUGUGAAGAAGGUCUUCGGAUUGUAAAGCACUUUAAGUUGGGAGGAAGGGCAAUUACCUAAUACGUAAUUGUUUUGACGUUACCGACAGAAUAAGCACCGGCGAACUCUGUGCCAGCAGCCGCGGUAAUACAGAGGGUGCAAGCGUUAAUCGGAAUUACUGGGCGUAAAGCGCGCGUAGGUGGUUCGUUAAGUUGGAUGUGAAAUCCCCGGGCUCAACCUGGGGAACUGCAUUCAAAACUGUCGAGCUAGAGUAUGGGUAGAGGGGUGGUGGGAAUUUCCUGUGUAGCGGUAAAAAUGCGUAAAUAUAGGAAGGAACACCCAUUG
rnacentral:rRNA from 1 species